AACGAACGCUGGCGGCAGGCUUAACACAUGCAAGUCGAGCGCCCCGCAAGGGGAGCGGCAGACGGGUGAGUAACGCGUGGGAAUCUACCCAUCACUACGGAACAACUCCGGGAAACUGGAGCUAAUACCGUAUACGUCCUUCGGGAGAAAGAUUUAUCGGUGAUGGAUGAGCCCGCGUUGGAUUAGCUAGUUGGUGGGGUAAUGGCCUACCAAGGCGACGAUCCAUAGCUGGUCUGAGAGGAUGAUCAGCCACACUGGGACUGAGACACGGCCCAGACUCCUACGGGAGGCAGCAGUGGGGAAUAUUGGACAAUGGGCGAAAGCCUGAUCCAGCCAUGCCGCGUGAGUGAUGACGGCCCUAGGGUUGUAAAGCUCUUUCGCAGGUGAAGAUAAUGACGGUAACCUGAGAAGAAGCCCCGGCUAACUUCGUGCCAGCCGCCGCGGUAAAAC
rnacentral:rRNA from 1 species